GUGUACACUCGUACAGGAUCCACACAACUCCUGAAUCAUAUCUCUAUUACUCAGUUAAGAUCAAAGAGUCUGAGACAUUUGAUACAUUACACCAGGCCAGAUCCCAAUUUCCCAACUCAGACAGCAGCAACAAUCCCAUACACUCUUUUGCCAAACAAAAACGAAAAAAAAAAACCAUACACCCACCGGAUCGCCACCCACCGACUGUCGUUACGUCGUUACAAGUUUGACUUGGUUUCGGCAUCAAAUUGCAAAAGGCGAGUGCGAUGGCAUUAGAUGUUGCGGAAUUGCUGUGGAGAAAGUUCUUGAAGUCUCUGGCAGAGCUAGACUCUGAAUCUAAUUCAGGUUCUAUUACUAUCUCUGUCUUCAAAUCAUCAAUAAAAGCUCUCGUGUCUGAUUUCGAAGCAAUCAAAGACGUUAUGAAUGAGAGAGACAUAACGUCUACCGUUGGUUGCGAAGACGAUAGCAAAUGCUUUUGCAGUGGGAUUUGGAGGCGACGGAUCUGAAGAGAGAGAUGGUGAUCACGGGGAGGAAGUAGGAACUUUUGAAGAAUUAGUUGAAGACGACCAGGGUUCAAGAAUUGCUGACCUGAUCCAUCAUGUUCAAGAAUCUUCUUGAAGCAUCAGUUCAGUAAUCUGCAAAGCAAGAUGUUACCAGCAUAUUUCACCAUGGUGGGGAUUUAUCAGUAGCUUCAUUUGGGUAUUUGCAUCCAUGGAACUCUUCCACUGUAGCAGACAAGUACCAACUUGACUUUUUGCUUUCAGUUCACUAAUUUGUAGCAGGCCGGGAGCCUGGUAUAUGAUGUUUGUGCAAAUGAACCAUUCAAAUCCUGCCACCUCAAUCGUUGAAGGCUACUUGAAGGAUUAUGUAUCACAUGGUCUUUCACCAUAAAGGAAAUUUGGAAUGCAUUUAACUGAUUGAAGUGACUCUUAGCUAAACUAGGCUGAGGGUUUUUGUGGAAUGGACGUGGAUGCUGAAUGGAAUAUAAUGGGCACAUGGGAUUAAUUUGCAAGCUUUUUGUACAUUCUGUAUCCUAACAAUAGACAUGAAGCUUGGAGAAAUGGUGUUUCUUUAGCUGUAUUCAGUCUGAAAGUGAGUGGACAUCCUCUCUACAAAACUGUUCCACCUCACCAU
rnacentral:lncRNA from 1 species